AAGAAAUUAGUUAAACUAUAACAUUAGAAUGUCAAACUAAAAUUAUUAAAUAUUAAUAUUUCUUA
rnacentral:tRNA from 1 species